rnacentral:lncRNA from 1 species
UUGGUUUUUUUUGUCUGUUGUUUCUUUUUAUGUUGUUGGUGGAUCAGUAAUUUUGAGCUCUAACUUGGUUGUCUUGGGUGGAGUUAUUGAAGUGAUGAGUUCUUAUGCUUCCUCUAUUUUGAUGAUCUGCAGAUUUUUCCGAUUCUUUUGACUUGUUUUUCCUUCUUGUUUUUAUUUUUGCCUUUGUUGUUGGAUUGAUGUUACCAUUUCUUAUUGUCUUCUUGAGCUUUGUUCUAACUUGUU